UAAAAAAUUAAAAGAAUGGCUACUAAGUAAAUGUUUCUACACGUUAAAAGAAUUCUUUGAUCUCAACUCUAGAUAAAUAAAUAAAUAUACCUAAGCAAUUGUCUGUAAUAUUGUUAUUUUGAUAAUUUAGAUUUUAAUAUUGUAUGUACCUAUAAUGUUGCAAUGCCCUUACAGGGCCAUGUUUCGGGACUCUGUAUUAAUAUUUAAGAUCCAAAUGUACCAACAUGAUGCAAUAAACAUAUAUGACUAUGA